rnacentral:rRNA from 1 species
GUGAGGAAUAUUGGUCAAUGGGCGGGAGCCUGAACCAGCCAAGUCGCGUGAAGGAAGAAGGAUCUAUGGUUCGUAAACUUCUUUUGCAGGGGAAUAAAGUGCAGGACGUGUCCUGUUUUGUAUGUACCCUGAGAAUAAGGAUCGGCUAACUCCGUGCCAGCAGCCGCGGUAAUACGGAGGAUCCGAGCGUUAUCCGGAUUUAUUGGGUUUAAAGGGUGCGUAGGUGGUUUGAUAAGUCAGCGGUGAAAGUUUGCAGCUUAACUGUAAAAAUGCCGUUGAAACUGGCGGACUUGAGUGUAAAUGAGGUAGGCGGAAUGCGUGGUGUAGCGGUGAAAUGCAUAGAUAUCACGCAGAACUCCGAUUGCGAAGGCAGCUUACUAAGCUACAACUGACACUGAAGCACGAAAGCGUGAGGAUCAAACAGGAUUAGAAACCCGGGUAGUCC